rnacentral:misc_RNA from 1 species
GAUGAAGAACGCAGCGAAAUGCGAUAAGUAGUGUGAAUUGCAGAAUUCAGUGAAUCAUCGAAUCUUUGAACGCACAUUGCGCCCCUUGGUAUUCCAUGGGGCAUGCCUGUUCGAGCGUCAUUUGUACCCUCAAGCCCCCGGGCCUGGCGUUGGGGAUCGGCGGAGCCCCCCGUGGGCACACGCCGUCCCCCAAAUACAGUGGCGGUCCCGCCGCAGCUUCCAUCGCGUAGUAGCUAACACCUCGCGACUGGAGAGCGGCGCGGCCACGCCGUAAAACACCCAACUCUUCUGAAGUUGACCUCGAAUCAGGUAGGAAUACCCGCUGAACUUAAGCAUAUCAAUAAGCGGAGGA